UACAGAGGCCUCAAGCGUUGUUCGGAAUUACUGGGCGUAAAGGGUGCGCAGGCCGCGCGGGCAGUCAAAUGUGUAAUCCAGGGGCUCAACCCCUGAACUGCGCUUGAUACUUCCGCGCUCGAGCUUUGGAGAGGAGUCUGGAAUUCUCGGUGUAGCAGUGAAAUGCGUGGAUAUCGAGAAGAACACUUAGGGCGAAGGCAAGACUCUGGACAAAUGCUGACGCUCAUGCACGAAGGCUAGGGUAGCGAACGGG
rnacentral:rRNA from 1 species